rnacentral:lncRNA from 1 species
CAGGACUUGUUCGCCGCGAAACUGAAUGCUUACGUUUUAUGUGGCCAUUGAUCUUUAAUCUGAGUCUGCCUGGAGGUUUCCUAUAACAUCAGGACUCCCUGGCCCUAGAUGUGAUUGCACACCGGAGGACAUUUACAUUUUAGCAAGACUUGUCAGUCAUAGCGUCUUUGGAGCAAUAAAAAGGCAUUGAGAGCACAGGAGUGGAAAGAAUCCAGGGGGCAGGAGGAGGCGUUCAGUGAGGACCCAGUGCAGGGCUGUACGAGGAGCCAGCUGACUUUGUACAGACAUUCCCCGAGCUCUGAUCAAGGUGCCUCGCUGCCUGCUCGGAGUGUUCCUGUUACUCUCCUGUCACCGAUGGGCUGGUGUGCCUGUGCCGCUGAACUAUUUGCCUUGACUGAACCUUUCUUGCCAGACAGCAUCACGACUCCUGAGAAGACAGAGGGGACAGACCUUGAUCUUGCUUCCAGAGCAAGUUGUCGGGAUGGUUCUGGGGCUGUCUUGCUGACACAUGUCUGCGUGGGCGGUGGCAGCCAUCCAGAAGCUUGUCAGCAGAGCUUGGUGUCAUUUGUGCAGCAGAAGCCUGAGGUUACACCUGCAUCCUGCCUAGCGAUCUUCGUCCUUCUCCUUGGCCAUGGACUCCCCUGCAGGAUGUAGAAGCCCACAGGGGCCCGUGGAUCCCUUCAAGGAUGAAGUUUUGAGUUUGUAAAAAUUCUCACUGUCACAGAGAAUAAUGAUCAGACUAAAGUACAGUUAUAAACAGAUUAAAUGAUAACAUGGGCACAUCAUCACUAACAUCUCAAACAAGGCUAACAGUAACGACGAGAGACAUCCUUAAUAUCUGCGAGUCCUCUUAUACUGUUCUGUCUUAGGGUUUCUAUUGCUGCAAAGAGACACUAUGACUAUAGCAGCUCUUAUAUAUGAAAAGAAAGGGUGGCUUGCAGUGGCUUACAGUGCAUUAUCAUCAGGGCAGGAAACAUGGUGGCACGAAGGCAGACAUGGUGCUAGAGAAGGAGCAGAGAGUUCCACAUCUGGAGCGGCAGGAAGAGAGUGUGACUCUGGGCCUGGCUUGAGCGUCUGAAACCUCAAAGCCCAUCCCCAGUGACACACUUCCUCCAACAAUGCCUUGCGUACUCCAACAAGGCCACAACUCUUAAAAAAAAAAAAAGAUUUGUUUUAUUUAUAUGAGUACACUGUUGCUCUCUUCAGACACACCAAAAGAGUGCAUCAGAUUCCAUUACAGAUGGUUGUAAACCACCAUGUGGUUGCUGGGAAUUGAACUCAGGACCUCUGGAAGAACAGUCAGUGCUCUUAAUCGCUGAGCCAUCUCUCCAGCCCAAGGCCACGCUUCUUAAUAUUGCCCCUCUUCAUAGACCUAUGGGGGCCAUCACCAUUCAAACCACUACGGGCUCUGACCGUUGCUUCAUUCAUCAUGAAAUUCCAUGCUAAAGUUCAGUUCCUGGGCAUAGACAUGAAGAUGCUAAAGUUUCCCACUACCCAGCCUAACAGCUUCUUAAGCUCCAUGGCCCUCUAGAUAAGAGCUCCAAUAUGGAAGCUGCCAACAGCUGCACAGCUGGUUACUGUUGAGACCAAGCCAGCUCAGCUUAGAUGAUAGGGAGAAAAACCCACCACAGAGAGGGUUCAUUGGUGUUUUUGAUGUUGCUGUGUAGUGAGAAUUCUCCAAUUUUGGAUUCCUUAAAAGACACAGAAAUACUAUAAGAGUAUGUUUUUGUUUUAAUGCCCGGUGUGGGGAUGUGGGACUGCUUCGGAGCAGCUGACUCUGAUUUGCUUCAUGCUCUAGCAGAGGCGUGGUUUUGCCAGCUGCAGAUAGUUUCCGCGAUUGUGUGACAGUUGGGGUUCAGGAAGGUUUUCAGAAGAUAUAUAAAUGCUAAGGCCCCACAGGUGGGGUUGGUGGUUGGUGGUUGUUCGGGGGAGCCAGUUCUGGCUUGUUAAUAGUGGUGCUCAAAGAAGAAACAAGAAGAAAGAAAUUAGAUUCAGGGGUCUCUAUCUCUCUCUUCCCCCCUCUAUACUUCUUUCUCUCAUAUAUAUCUAGUGUUGGGGGUGACUGGGGUGGGGGCAAAGGGUAGGAAAAAGAAGAACCCACAAAGUAGCAAAGACUAGCUAUAAGCAAAGAAGAAACAAGAAUUAAAAAAUUAGAUUCAGGGAUCUCCCUCCGGCAUCCUUUCUCUCCUAUCUAGUGAUAAGGGGUGAGACUGGUGGGAUAAAGGCUGGGAAAAGAAAGAACACAUAAAGUAACAAAGACAGGCUACAUUGUGGUACUAAAAGACUGCCGUGCUGGUAGGCAUGCAUCUGUCCUGCCAGGGCUCAGCAUAGUGGCUUUCUCUUGUUCUUGCACAAGCUUCAUUUUAGAGAAAGUAGCACUAUUAGGUCUUCCCGAGGUCUGGGCUUGGAUGUCCCACAGUAUUGCGUCUGUAACUUACUAUUAAUCAAAACAAUCCUGUCUGAUUCUGUGUAUCUCCAUCAGUUUUAUAUCUCCAAGAAAAGUCAGCUUACAAAGAGGACGUUUAUUCUGGUCAAUGUUUUCCUGGGUGAUUGAGAUGAGAAUGUUCUCCAUAGGUUUCGAUGUUUGAAUUCUUGGUCCCUAGUUAACAGCACUGUUUGGGAAGGAUCAGGAGACGUGGCCUUGAUGGAAGGAAUUUGUCAGUGGUGGGUGAGCUAUGAGGUUUGAAGGUCUCAUGACAUUUCCAGUGAGCUCUCAGUUUCCGGUUCUUUUCAGCAUCCUAUCAGCUGUUUGCUGCCAUGUCUUCCUGUUCUGACAGGCUCUUAUCUCUCUGGAACCAGAAGCCCAAAUACUUUUCUCUCCGUCAUGGCAUUUUAAUCUCAGCAAUAGAAAAGUAACC